rnacentral:misc_RNA from 1 species
GAUGAAGAACGUAGCAAAAUGCGAUAAGUAAUGUGAAUUGCAGAAUUCAGUGAAUCAUCGAAUCUUUGAACGCACAUUGCGCCCGCCAGUAUUCUGGCGGGCAUGCCUGUUCGAGCGUCAUUUCAACCCUCAAGCACAGCUUGGUGUUGGGACUCGCGUUAAUUCGCGUUCCCCAAAUUGAUUGGCGGUCACGUCGAGCUUCCAUAGCGUAGUAGUAAAACCCUCGUUACUGGUAAUCGUCGCGGCCACGCCGUUAAACCCCAACUUCUGAAUGUUGACCUCGGAUCAGGUAGGAAUACCCGCUGAACUUAAGCAUAUCAGUAAGCGGAGGA